CAACCGAGCGCAACCCUCAUCCUUAGUUGCCAUCGAUUGAGUUGGGAACUCUAAGGAAACUGCCUCGGUUAACGGGAGAAGGUGGGGAUGACGUCAAGUCCUCAUGGCCUUUAUGUCCAGGGCUACACACGUGCUACAAUGGGCGGAACAAAGGGUUGCAAUACCGCAAGGUGGAGCUAAUCUCAAAAAACCGCUCUCAGUUCAGAUUGGAGUCUGCAACUCGACUCCAUGAAGGCGGAAUCGCUAGUAAUCGCGGAUCAGCAUGCCGCGGUGAAUACCGUUCCCGGGCCUU
rnacentral:rRNA from 1 species